GACCUAAUAGCGAAAUUGGUAUCGCGUCCACCCUGAUUAGGCCGAAGAAGAUCAUCUGCAAUAUGUGGAAGUCCCUUGUUCGAACCGAGGUUAGGUCU